UACGGGGGGGGCAAGCGUUGUUCGGAAUUACUGGGCGUAAAGGGCGCGUAGGCGGCCUUCUAAGUCGAACGUGAAAUCCCCGGGCUCAACCCGGGAACUGCGUCCGAUACUGGGAGGCUUGAAUCCGGGAGAGGGAUGUGGAAUUCCAGGUGUAGCGGUGAAAUGCGUAGAUAUCUGGAGGAACACCGGUGGCGAAGGCGGCAGUCCUGGACCGGUAUUGACGCUGAGGCGCGAAAGCCAGGG
rnacentral:rRNA from 1 species